rnacentral:rRNA from 1 species
AUUGAACGCUGGCGGCAUGCCUUACACAUGCAAGUCGAACGGCAGCGGACCUUCGGGUGCCGGCGAGUGGCGAACGGGUGAGUAAUGUAUCGGAACGUACCUUUCAGUGGGGGAUAACGUAGCGAAAGUUACGCUAAUACCGCAUAUUCUGUGAGCAGGAAAGCAGGGGAUCGCAAGACCUUGCGCUGAUUGAGCGGCCGAUAUCAGAUUAGCUAGUUGGUGAGGUAAAGGCUCACCAAGGCGACGAUCUGUAGCGGGUCUGAGAGGAUGAUGCGCCACACUGGAACUGAGACACGGUCCAGACUCCUACGGGAGGCAGCAGUGGGGAAUUUUGGACAAUGGGCGCAAGCCUGAUCCAGCCAUGCCGCGUGAGUGAAGAAGGCCUUCGGGUUGUAAAGCUCUUUCGGCCGGGAAGAAAUCGCAUGGGUUAAUACCCUGUGCGGAUGACGGUACCGGCAUAAGAAGCACCGGCUAACUACGUGCCAGCCGCCGCCGUAAUAC